rnacentral:rRNA from 1 species
CCUACGGGCGGCAGCAGUGGGGAAUAUUGCACAAUGGGCGAAAGCCUGAUGCAGCAACGCCGCGUGAAGGAAGAAGGGUUUCGGCUCGUAAACUUCUAUCAACAGGGACGAAAGAAAUGCCGGUACCUGAAUAAGAAGCCCCGGUUAACUACGUGCCAGCAGCCGCGGUAAUAGGUAGGGGGCAAGCGUUAUCCGGAUUUACUGGGGGUAAAGGGGGAGUAGGCGGCAGGGUAAGCUUGAGGUGAAAGCCUUGGGCUUAACCCGGGGAUUGCAUUUGGAACUACCGAGCUAGAGUGCAGGAGAGGAAGGCGGAAUUCCUAGUGUAGCGGUGAAAUGCGUAGAUAUUAGGAAGAACACCAGUGGCGAAGGCGGCUUUCUGGACGGUAACUGACGCUGAGGCUCGAAAGCGUGGGGAGCGAACAGGAUUAGAUACCCGGGUAGUC